GCGUCGCCGCGCGGGAGAGGCAAGACUUGAAUGCAUGCUGCAUGUUAAAUAUUAUGGCAAACAACGGGGCCGACUCCGCACAGGCUCACACAAUGGAGCGCAGCACUAUCACCGCUGGCGUGCAUCUGCCUACAUGUUUGUCUAUGGUCGGAUGCGGCUGUGCAUUUCACUUUCUAUUCUGACUAGAAAAAUAAUGCCCUUGAUGCUGCCGGCCACCCCACCGCGGGUGCCUGGGUGCGGCACCCAACGCUGUGCGGAAGCCAAGCGCCCACACCCAGCGCUUCGUGUGGUGGGCCUCGGACUCUUGGUGUCGGCGGACAGGUCUGGGCUGGCGGUGUGCCGAAGAGACGUGCGGCCUUGAUGGUCGCGUUGGGGCCCGCUCGCUACGAAUCGUGCCGACGGCUCAACACGUGUGCGCAACGGCGUGCAGCGGGCGCGAGUCUCUGUGCGGCGCCGGUGGCGCCGCACGUAUCCGAGGAAGGACGAGAAUGCAGGGCGCAUGACCCGACUCGACGGCAGACGGCUCGUGCUGGACGACGAGGAUUUAGCGGUGGCGCAGCAGAGGCAGGUGGGCUGCGGCUGCGUGCGCGUAUUCGCUGAGCUGCUCGCGGUACUAUGGCAUGUAAUCAAGAAAAGGGGUCUGCCGUUUUGUGUACUGACGUAAUGCUUGGAUUUUGGUGGAUUAUGGCUGCAGCGGUGAGCGCUGGUGGUCGUGCUGGACGUACUGCAUAUACGCAGAGGUUCUGGAUUGCUGUAGUACAUCGACCGGCUCUGUGUUGUACAUGUAGGGAAUGAGCUAGACGAUGCCUGCCGCGGUGAAAGUGUGCACCGCUUCUGGGGGUUCUGUGCACUGCCAGAGCAUCUAUUCGUGUACGCAUGUCUGCACCCUCGUCCCUCUUUGGUGGUUUUUGUUCAUGUACGCCGUUACCCACUUUUUUUGUUCGGUUUCCGGAGGCUGCAGGGAGACCUUGAUUCUGUGUUUGUCGGGCGGUGAGCGACGAGUGCUGCCGCGACCCAAGAGAGAGCCAAAGCAAAACACUAAGACGCCAACUCACCAGUUUGUUGGGUUUCGUGGAAGAUCUUGGUAAGAGGCGAUGUUCUCGCUUCCCUGGCUGCCCGAAAGCCUGGCUCGGCGAGCUAUUCCGAGCGACGCCGUGCGAUUCUGGUGGUCAUGUGCCGAUGUGUUCGCGAAAGGCGGCUGCGCCGCCCACGUGACUGUCGGCGUUGUAGUGCUGGAGCGCGUUGCUUUGCUCCACCCCCUCCACCCGCCAUCGCUUUGUUUCUCCCGCCAGGAUCGACUAGGAGGGUGUGGCUUCGUCAGGCGGUGUCCGCAUGCUUCGGAGAAGGUCCUCUCCUUUGGCGCCUUUUCCUUCCUCUGUGCGCGCCAGUCUGUUUUUUUUGUUUGUUUGUUCUUGCGCCGUUUAGCGACCACCACCACUACCCUCCUUGCAGCAACUCGGUGUCAAAAACUCUCACCUCCUUCUCUCUCUUGCGCAUGCGCCGCUGCUGUUUUCGGCCUCCGCCCGCCCCCUCCCCUCUACACCCAUCCAG
rnacentral:misc_RNA from 1 species